CGAACUCUCCCUCCCCUGAACUCUCCCUCCCUCUCCUCCUGAACUCUCACCCUCCUGAACUCUCCCUCCCUCUCCUCCGUCUCUGGGAAGCACGGCGACGCGCAGAGGAAGCUCGGCUUCCCCGAUCGCACCCACACCCAGGCACACCCAAAUCCGUCCACCCCGAUGCCAGCGCAGCAUCUCCACCACCCUCCCUCCCUCUCCCUCCAUCUCCUCCGUCUCUGGGAAGCACGGCGACGCGCAGAGGAAGCUCGGCUUCCCCGAUCGCACCCACACCCAGGCACACCCAAGUUUUCAGGUGAGAUCCGACUAAACCCUAUGUUGAUUACCUCUUGCAUGCGUGAAAUCUGAAGUUUAUAUGUGAAAUUGAUGUUAAAAAUCGUGUUUUUGCAAGGUUUUUGGGACGAAAUCGGCUCGGGAAUAGGCACACCAUCUCCGGCGUUCUUCUCGGAGUCCGAUUGCACAGUUCCAAAAAAUGUCGCGAUAUUUCCAAAAUAUCGCGAUAUUAUCGAUAUUAUCGAUAUUAUCGAUAAUAUCGCGAUAUUUUGACGAAAAUCACACGGAUACCUAUUUAAAUAUCCAUUCCCCGAAAAAUCGAUAUUAUCGGCGAUAUUUCGCCGAUAAUAUAGAUAUUUAAAUCUAUGCUUAACAUAGAGCCGGCCUUUGAGUUCUUAAGAAGCACUUCUUGAAAAUAUUGAAAACAAGUCUGGACUCCAUUGGAGCCGACCUCAG
rnacentral:lncRNA from 1 species